rnacentral:rRNA from 1 species
UACGUAGGGGGCAAGCGUUGUCCGGAAUCAUUGGGCGUAAAGAGCGUGUAGGCGGUUCAGUAAGUCUGCUGUGAAAGUCCAAGGCUCAACCUUGGGAUGCCGGUGGAUACUGCUGAGCUAGAGUACGGAAGAGGCGAGUGGAAUUCCCGGUGUAGCGGUGAAAUGCGCAGAUAUCGGGAGGAACACCUAUUGCGAAGGCAGCUCGCUGGGACGUCACUGACGCUGAGACGCGAAAGCGUGGGUAGCAAACAGG